rnacentral:rRNA from 1 species
UACAGAGGUCUCAAGCGUUGUUCGGAUUCAUUGGGCGUAAAGCGCGCGUAGGCUGCGGGGCAAGUCGGGUGUGAAAUCUCAGAGCUCAACUCUGAAACUGCACUCGAUACUGCUUUGCUUGAGGACUGGAGAGGAGAUUGGAAUUCACGGUGUAGCAGUGAAAUGCGUAGAUAUCGUGAGGAAGACCAGUGGCGAAGGCGGAUCUCUGGACAGUUCCUGACGCUGAGGCGCGAAGGCCAGGGGAGCAAACGGG